AUUGCACAUUGUUGGAGCUUGGAGUUGGUGCCCUAACUAGCUGACAAACUUGCAAGUGUAGGUAGUGUGCUAUGUGAGGGGCAAAUUUUUCACUAACAUGACAAAGGUCUUUGGCCUAGUGAGUAGAGUUUGACAAUAAUCCUUGCUACAAGU
ensembl:snoRNA SNORA62 Small nucleolar RNA SNORA62/SNORA6 family